rnacentral:rRNA from 1 species
UAGAGUUUGAUCCUGGCUCAGAUUGAACGCUGGCGGCAGGCCUAACACAUGCAAGUCGAGCGGCAGCGGGAAAGUAGCUUGCUACUUUUGCCGGCGAGCGGCGGACGGGUGAGUAAUGCCUGGGGAUCUGCCCAGUCGAGGGGGAUAACUACUGGAAACGGUAGCUAAUACCGCAUACCCCCUACGGGGGAAAGCAGGGGACCUUCGGGCCUUGCGCGAUUGGAUGACCCCAGGUGGGAUUAGCUAGUUGGUGAGGUAAUGGCUCACCAAGGCGACGAUCCCUAGCUGGUCUGAGAGGAUGAUCACCCCCACUGAAACUGACACCCCGCCCACACUCCUACGGGAGGCAGCAGUGGGGAAUAUUGCACAAUGGGGGAAACCCUGAUGCAGCCAUGCCGCGUGUGUGAAGAAGGCCUUCGGGUUGUAAAGCACUUUCAGCGAGGAGGAAAGGUUGGUAGCUAAUAACUGCCAGCUGUGACGUUACUCGCAGAAGAAGCACCGGCUAACUCCGUGCCAGCAGCCGCGGUAAUACGGAGGGUGCAAGCGUUAAUCGGAAUUACUGGGCGUAAAGCGCACGCAGGCGGUUGGAUAAGUUAGAUGUGAAAGCCCCGGGCUCAACCUGGGAAUUGCAUUUAAAACUGUCCAGCUAGAGUCUUGUAGAGGGGGGUAGAAUUCCAGGUGUAGCGGUGAAAUGCGUAGAGAUCUGGAGGAAUACCGGUGGCGAAGGCGGCCCCCUGGACAAAGACUGACGCUCAGGUGCGAAAGCGUGGGGGGCAAACAGGAUUAGAUACCCUGGUAGUCCACGCCGUAAA